GUUAUGUGGUUAUUGCUACUGGUGUUAAAGUGUCGGUGGGAGGUUCCUGGCUGGGCGUGUUUGCUGGAACCUCGGGUGUGGACCCCGUUUGGUCCUGGCAAGCUUAGGGGUGUUCAGUUGUAUUUGGUUUUGGGUCAUUGCCGUGUUAACACACCUUUUUUAUGUUCACAGGUUGCGUGCCAAUGACGUU